GCCUGGGUGGCUCAAUCGGUUAAGCAUCUGACUUAGGCUCAGGUCAUGAUCUCACAGUUUGUGAGUUCGAGCCCCACAUCGGGCU
rnacentral:tRNA from 1 species